GAUGAACGCUAGCUACAGGCUUAACACAUGCAAGACGAGGGGUAACAAGAGGAAAGCUUGCUUUUCUUGUUGACGACCGGCGCACGGGUGAGUAACGCGUAUCCAACCUGCCUAUAACUAGGGAAUAACCUUGCGAAAGUAAGACUAAUACCCUAUGAUUUCCUUUGAUGACAUCAGAUUAGGAAUAAAGAUUUAUCGGUUAUAGAUGGGGAUGCGUCUGAUUAGCUUGUGGGCGGGGUAACGGCCCACCAAGGCAACGAUCAGUAGGGGUUCUGAGAGGAAGGUCCCCCACAUUGGAACUGAGACACGGUCCAAACUCCGACGGGAGGCAGCAGUGAGGAAUAUUGGUCAAUGGGCGGAAGCCUGAACCAGCCAAGUAGCGUGCAGGAUGACGGCCCUAUGGGUUGUAAACUGCUUUUAUACAGGAAUAAAGUUAGCCACGUGUGGUUAUUUGUAGGUACUGUAUGAAUAAGGACCGGCUAAUUCCGUGCCAGCCGCCGCCGUAA
rnacentral:rRNA from 1 species